AUACGUAGGGAGCGAGCGUUGUCCGGAUUUACUGGGUGUAAAGCGCACGCAGGCGGUCUGUCAAGUCGGAUGUGAAAUCCCCGGGCUCAACCUGGGAACUGCAUUCGAAACUGGCAGGCUAGAGUCUUGUAGAGGGGGGUAGAAUUCCAGGUGUAGCGGUGAAAUGCGUAGAGAUCUGGAGGAAUACCGGUGGCGAAGGCGGCCCCCUGGACAAAGACUGACGCUCAGGUGCGAAAGCGUGGGGAGCAAACAGGAUUAGAUACCCUGGUAGUCCACGCCGUAAACGAUGUCGACUUGGAGGUUGUGCCCUUGAGGCGUGGCUUCCGGAGCUAACGCGUUAAGUCGACCGCCUGGGGAGUACGGCCGCAAGGUUAAA
rnacentral:rRNA from 1 species